GAUGAACGCUGGCGGCGUGCUUAACACAUGCAAGUCGAACGAGAAGUGAAGACGGAAACCUUCGGGCGGAAGGCUUUAUUUCGAGUGGCGGACGGGUGAGUAACGCGUGGGUAACCUGCCUCAUACAGGGGGAUAACAGUUGGAAACGACUGUUAAUACCGCAUAAGACCACAGCACCGCAUGGUGCGGGGGUAAAAACUCCGGUGGUAUGAGAUGGACCCGCGUUCGAUUAGCCAGUUGGCGGGGUAACGGCCCACCAAAGCGACGAUCGAUAGCCGAUCUGAGAGGAUGACCGGCCACAUUGGGACUGAGACACGGCCCAAACUCCUACGGGAGGCAGCAGUGGGGAAUAGUGCACAAUGGGGGAAACCCUGAUGCAGCGACGCCGCGUGAGUGAAGAAGUAUUUCGGUAUGUAAAGCUCUAUCAGCAGGGAAGAAAAUGACGGUACCUGAGUAAGAAGCCCCGGCUAACUACGU
rnacentral:rRNA from 1 species